rnacentral:rRNA from 1 species
AGCGAACGCUGGCGGCAGGCUUAACACAUGCAAGUCGAGCGGGCACUUUCGGGUGUCAGCGGCGGACGGGUGAGUAACGCGUGGGAACGUGCCCUCUGGUUCGGAAUAACUCAGGGAAACUUGAGCUAAUACCGGAUACGCCCUUUUGGGGAAAGGCUUGCUGCCGGAGGAUCGGCCCGCGUCUGAUUAGCUAGUUGGUGAGGUAACGGCUCACCAAGGCGACGAUCAGUAGCUGGUCUGAGGGGAUGAUCAGCCACACUGGGACUGAGACACGGCCCAGACUCCUACGGGAGGCAGCAGUGGGGAAUAUUGGACAAUGGGCGCAAGCCUGAUCCAGCCAUGCCGCGUGAGUGAUGAAGGCCUUAGGGUUGUAAAGCUCUUUUAUCCGGGACGAUAAUGACGGUACCGGAGGAAUAAGCCCCGGCUAACUUCGUG